AAAGCUUUACUGCUUUAGUUUGCAAAUUGCAAUUGCAUCUGCUUCUCCUCCUCACUCCGUAGCCUUCAACAAAAAGUUGGUCAAAACUCAAAAACGAAGAACGAAAGAAACAACGUAGUACAAACGGGAAAAGGGAAUCAGUCACCUGUCUAACGAGAAACGGUAACAGCGGCGAAUGAAGGAAGAUGAAAUUCUAGAGAAAGCACUACCGGGACUGUUCGGUGAGUCAAGGCAAGAAGUGUUGAUAAUUUCAUUAGCAUCUAGGCUCACGGUGAGUGAGACACCAUUUGCUUCAACAUUUGACUGGCCAGCAGUUGCAUCUCACCUGCCUAGAUCCUUCAAGAGAAACUUAUUUACUUUGAGUAUCGACUGGUGCGAUAGAGGAUGCCAAGCAACAUCUGGCAGGAAAAGAAUGCCAAAUAGCUAGAAGAACAAGUUUACCAUGAUAGGGUGGCCAUAUCAGGAAAGAUAGAGUGAGAAAUGAGAUUAUUCGGAAGAAGGUGGAGGUGACUUUGGUGGAGGACAAGAUGCGAGAAGUGCAGUUACGUUGGUUCGGGCACGUGAUAAGGAGGGGCUCUGAUGCUCUAGUGCGGAGGUGUGAGUCACUGGCUAUGGAUGGUUUUAGGUGGGGUAGAGGUAGGCUGACGAAAUAUUGAAGGGAGGUGAUUAGGCAUGAUAUGGAGUAGUUACAGCUAACAGAGGACAUGACCCUUGAUAGGAAGGUGUGGAGGAUGCGGAUUAGGGUAGAGGGUUAGGGGGUGAGAGCGUUUCUUUAUUUGUGUUUGAAGUUUCUUAUUCGUGGGUGUUCAGUGAUAUCUAUGUUUUCGGUUAGGUAGUUUUUUAGUAGUAUCUGGUGGCUGUUAUAUUACCUUGUGGAUACCGAUGUUAGUUUAUUUUGCAUAAUGUACUAGUUUACGUGCAUUUA